rnacentral:rRNA from 1 species
UAAAGACAUAUACACAAACCGGUCAAUACGAACCACAGUUUAAAAUUCAAAGAAUUUGGCGGUGUCUUAUAUAAUCAGGGGAACCUGUUUCUUAAUUCGAUAAUCCACGAAAAUUAAUCCCUAUUUCGAAUUUCAGCCUGUGUACUGCUGUCGCCAGUAAACCUCUAUAAGAAAGUUUACAACAAUAAGUUAAUUUAUACACGUCAAGUCAAAGUGCAGCCUAUAAUAGGGAGACAAUGGGUUACAAUCUAAAUAUAGACUACGAAAUAGUUUAAUAAAAAAACUACGAAGGUGGACUUGAUAGUAAUAUUUACACAAUACUAAUAUAAACUAAAAUCUAAGACAUGUACACAUCGCCCGUCGCUCUCGUCUCAAGAUG